rnacentral:rRNA from 1 species
ACUCCUACGGGAGGCAGCAGUGGGGAAUAUUGCACAAUGGGGGAAACCCUGAUGCAGCGACGCCGCGUGACUGAAGAAGUAUUUCGGUAUGUAAAGGUCUAUCAGCAAGGAAGAAGAGAGACGGUACUUGACUAAGAAGCCCCGGCUGACUACGUGCCAGCAGCCGCGGUAAUAC